UUCAGUCGUAGACUCAUCAAC
ensembl:piRNA 21ur-2688 ncRNA